GUUCCUGUAGCGCAAUAGAUAGCACGCGUUGGACUUCUAAUUCAAAGGUCGUGGGUUGGAAUCCUACCUGGGAUG